AACACGCUCCUUAGAUCCACCUCUGGAGGGCGCUGUGCUCUGGUGCAGCCCCUCAGCAGCUUUCUGGCUGCACAGUUGGAGGUGCUUGAGUCAUUGGCGUGUGAGAACAGUCUACCUGUCCCCCAGCCCACCUGCAGCACUGACAGCCCAGUCCUACAGACAGGGAGCACCCAGUGCUGCAAACCUGGUGGACGGACACA
ensembl:snoRNA